rnacentral:rRNA from 1 species
AUUGAACGCUGGCGGCAUGCCUUACACAUGCAAGUCGAACGGUAACAGGUCUUCGGUUGCUGACGAGUGGCGAACGGGUGAGUAAUACAUCGGAACGUGCCCGAUCGUGGGGGAUAACGAGGCGAAAGCUUUGCUAAUACCGCAUACGAUCUACGGAUGAAAGCGGGGGAUCUUCGGACCUCGCGCGGACGGAGCGGCCGAUGGCAGAUUAGGUAGUUGGUGGGAUAAAAGCUUACCAAGCCGACGAUCUGUAGCUGGUCUGAGAGGAUGAUCAGCCACACUGGGACUGAGACACGGCCCAGACUCCUACGGGAGGCAGCAGUGGGGAAUUUUGGACAAUGGGCGAAAGCCUGAUCCAGCCAUGCCGCGUGCAGGAUGAAGGCCUUUGGGUUGUAAACUGCUUUUGUACGGAACGAAAAGCCUCUUUCUAAUAAAGAGGGGUCAUGACGGUACCGAAAGAAUAAGCACCGGCUAACUACGUG